rnacentral:lncRNA from 1 species
UUAGGGUUUAGGGUUUAGGGUUUAGUGUUGAUAGUUUAGGGUUUGGUGUUGAUGUUUUAGGGUUUAGAGUUGAAGUUUGAGGUUUAGGGUUUAGGGUUGAUGUUUUAGGGUUUAGAGUUGAAAGUUUAGCGUUUAAGGUUUUUAGGGUUUAGAGUUGAGGUUUUAGGGUUUAGGGUUUGUAUUUAAAAAAAUAGGAUUUAGGGUUUAGAGUUGAGUUUUAGGGUUUAGGGUUCGAAUUUCAAAAUAGUAUAAUUAAAAAAAAUAAAAAAAA